ACACAUGCAAGUCGAGCGGAGAUGAGGUGCUUGCACCUUAUCUUAGCGGCGGACGGGUGAGUAAUGCUUAGGAAUCUGCCUAUUAGUGGGGGACAACAUUCCGAAAGGAAUGCUAAUACCGCAUACGUCCUACGGGAGAAAGCAGGGGAUCUUCGGACCUUGCGCUAAUAGAUGAGCCUAAGUCGGAUUAGCUAGUUGGUGGGGUAAAGGCCUACCAAGGCGACGAUCUGUAGCGGGUCUGAGAGGAUGAUCCGCCACACUGGGACUGAGACACGGCCCAGACUCCUACGGGAGGCAGCAGUGGGGAAUAUUGGACAAUGGGGGGAACCCUGAUCCAGCCAUGCCGCGUGUGUGAAGAAGGCCUUAUGGUUGUAAAGCACUUUAAGCGAGGAGGAGGCUACUGAGACUAAUACUCUUGGAUAGUGGACGUUACUCGCAGAAUAAGCACCGGCUAACUCUGUGCCAGCAGCCGCGGUAAUACAGAGGGUGCGAGCGUUAAUCGGAUUUACUGGGCGUAAAGCGUGCGUAGGCGGCUUUUUAAGUCGGAUGUGAAAUCCCCGAGCUUAACUUGGGAAUUGCAUUCGAUACUGGGAAGCUAGAGUAUGGGAGAGGAUGGUAGAAUUCCAGGUGUAGCGGUGAAAUGCGUAGAGAUCUGGAGGAAUACCGAUGGCGAAGGCAGCCAUCUGGCCUAAUACUGACGCUGAGGUACGAAAGCAUGGGGAGCAAACAGGAUUAGAUACCCUGGUAGUCCAUGCCGUAAACGAUGUCUACUAGCCGUUGGGGCCUUUGAGGCUUUAGUGGCGCAGCUAACGCGAUAAGUAGACCGCCUGGGGAGUACGGUCGCAAGACUAAAACUCAAAUGAAUUGACGGGGGCCCGCACAAGCGGUGGAGCAUGUGGUUUAAUUCGAUGCAACGCGAAGAACCUUACCUGGCCUUGACAUACUAGAAACUUUCCAGAGAUGGAUUGGUGCCUUCGGGAAUCUAGAUACAGGUGCUGCAUGGCUGUCGUCAGCUCGUGUCGUGAGAUGUUGGGUUAAGUCCCGCAACGAGCGCAACCCUUUUCCUUACUUGCCAGCAUUUCGGAUGGGAACUUUAAGGAUACUGCCAGUGACAAACUGGAGGAAGGCGGGGACGACGUCAAGUCAUCAUGGCCCUUACGGCCAGGGCUACACACGUGCUACAAUGGUCGGUACAAAGGGUUGCUACACAGCGAUGUGAUGCUAAUCUCAAAAAGCCGAUCGUAGUCCGGAUUGGAGUC
rnacentral:rRNA from 1 species